CACACGCACAUGCCCGCGCAUGCGCACACACGGCUGCCUUUGAUUUGCUAAUGUUUGGGGUGGAUUUUUUGCAUAUGUGUUCAUGAGAGAUUGGCUAAUAGGUUUUUGUUGUUGUCGUAAUGACCUUAGUAGGUUUUAUCACUCACAAGUUGAAAGAUAUUUCCUCCUUUUCUAUUUUCUGGAACAGUUGUAUAUAAGAUCAGUGUUAUUUCUGAAAUAGUUGGAAGAAUUUACCAGUGAAGCCAUCUUGUCCUAGAAAUUUCCUUGUGGGGAACUGCUCAAUUUCUUUAAGAGAUAACAGAUUUUCUUUUCCUUCUUGUUUCAAUUUCGGUUUUCUAGGAAUUUUUUAUUAUCUAAAAAUGUAAAUUUAUUGACAUAGCUCAUUUGUAAUAUCCUUUUACUAUUAUUUUGAUAUUUUUAGGAACUCCAGAGGUAACUGCCCUUACUUUUAUAACAUUGACAAUUUGUGACUUUUUCCCCAUACGUAUUGCUAGAGGUCUGUCCAUUUUAUUCAAUGUUUCCAAAAAAAUUUUGGCUGUUGUUUUCCUUUGUAGGGUUGUUUUCUAUUUCAUUAAGGUCGAAUCUUAGAAAUUACUUUUUAUUAUUUUGGGUUUUAUUUGCUUGCUUUUUUGAGUCUACCGAGUUUGAUACUUUAAUGAUUGAUUUUCAGCCUUUCUUCUUAAUAUAUAUAUUUAAUGUUAGAGAGUCUCCUGUAAGUACUUCUUUAGCUGUGUUUGCAAGUUUCGAUGUUACCAUGUAGCUCAAAAUACUUUUUAUUUUAUUUUUUGGGGGGCUUUUUAGGGCUGCACCCAUGGCAAAUGGAAGUUCCCAGGCUAGGGGUCAAAUUGGAGCUGUAAUUGCUGGCCUACACCACAGCCAUAGCAGUGCCAGAUCCAAGCCACAUCUGCGACCUACACCACAGCUUGGCAAUACCAGAUCCUUAACCCACUGAGCGAGACCAGGGAUCAAACCUGCGUCCUCAUGGACGCUGGUCAGAUUCAUUUCCACUGAGCCACAAUGGGAACUCCCAAAAUACCUUUUUAUUUCAUUUAUGGUUUUUGCUUUCAUCCAUGGGUCAUUAGAAGUACUAUUGCUUAAUUUCCAAGCAUUUGGAGAUUUUCUAGUUGUUAUUUUCACAUUGAUUUCUAGCUUAGUUUCACUAUUGUUAGUGUGCAGAGUAAUUUCUGUCUUUACAUAUUUGUUGAGGCUUGCUGUUACGAGUUGAAUUGUGCCUCCCCAAAGAAGUCAGAGUCCUUAUCCUCAUUACCUGUGAAUAUGACUUUAUUUGGAGAUAGGGACUUAGCGGAUUUCCAAGUUAAGGGGGUGAACUCCCCCAAUAUGACUUUGUCCUUAUAAAAGGGGAUUUGGACACAGACACAGAAACAUACCAGGAGAACACCAGGUGAAGAUGAAGGCAGAGAUCAAGGUAAUGUAUCCACAUGCCAAGGAGACAAAAAGAUGGCCAGAAAAUUACCAGAAGCUAGGAGAGAGGAAUGGAACAAAUUGCCCCUCACAGACCACAGAAGAAGUCAAUCCUGCCAACACCUUGAUCUCAGACUUCUAGCCUCCACAUCUGUGAGAUAAUACAUUUUUGUUGUUUAAGCUACUCAGUAUGUGGUACUUUGAUAUGGCAGCCCUAGGAAACUAAUGUAUUUGCUUUACAAUUCAGCAAAUACUCAUUUUUGCUAAAUGUUCCACCUAUGCUUGAAAGGAUUGUGUUUAUGCUAUUGUUUGGUGCAAUAUUCUAUGUAUGUAUAUUAAUGAGGUUAAAUUUGUUGUGUUCUCUAUGCUUGUUCUGUCAAAUAACAAAAAUGGUAUGUUAAAGUCUCUAUGAUUUUGGAUCUGUCUGCUUCUGUUUCUAAUUCUGUCAAUUUUUGCUUCAGAUAUUUUAAGCUCUGUUAUUGUUAUUUUAAGAUAUGUAUAUAUGUAUAUAUAUACCACAUAUUUAAGAUUGUUAUAUCUUCUGUUGAGUUAAUCUCUUUAUCAUUAUAAAAUAUUCUUUUUUUUCUCUAGUAAUUUUUUGUCUUUUAGUAUAGUUCAUCUUAUAUUAGUAUAGUUACAUCAACAUUUUCGGGGUGAGUUUUUGCAUAGUAUAUCUUUUUGCAUCCUGCCACUUUCAAUCUUUCUGUGACCUUGUAGUUAAGAUAUGUCUCUUUAUUAUUUUAUUUUAUAUUUUAUUGAACUAAAGGUGAUUUACUAUGUUGUGUUUCUGGUAUAUAGCAAAGCGAUUCAAUUAUAUAUACAUCAUAUAAUUCUUUUUUUAUUCUUUUCCAUUAUGGCUGCUUAUAGGAUAUUGAAUAUAGUUCCCUUUUCUAUACAGUAAGACCUUGUUGAUGAUCUAUUUUAUAUAUAGAACUUUGUAUCUUUUAACCCCAAACUCCUAAUUUAUCCCUCUCCCACCCCCUUUCCCUUUUGGUAACCAUAAGUUUGUUUUUAUGUCUGUGAAAAGAUUGAUCUCUUAUAAGUAGCACAUACACUUUUAAAAAUCCAAUGUAAUCUUUUUGUCUUUUAAUUGGAGAUUUAGUCAGUUUUCAGGUAAUGGAAUUAUGGGUAAAUAUUGAAAAAUUUUAAACAUUAAAAAUUUUUUUUUGUUUUAUUGAAGUUCAGUUGAGGUACAAGGUUGUGUUAAUUUCUGCUGUAGAACAAAGUGACUUAGUUGUACAUAUGCACAUAUUCAUUCUCUUUCAGAUGAUUUUCCCAAAUAGAUUAUCACAGACUACUGGGUAGAGUUCUCUGUACUAUACAGCAGGUCCCUGUCGGCCAAUCAUUCCACAUACCUUAGUGUGCAUAUGCCAAUCCCAAACCCCCAGUCCAUCCCUCCCAACCCACAACCUGUCCCCUUUGGUACUCAUAAGUUUUUCAAAGUCUGUGAGUCUGUUUCUGUUCUUCAAAUAAGUUCAUUUGUACCCUUUCUUUUUAGAUUCCACAUAUAGGUGAUAUCAUAUGAUGUUUGUCUUUCACUGUCUAACUUCAUUUAGUAGGAUAAUUUCUAGAUCCAUCUGUGUUGCUGCAGAUGGUGUUAUUUCAUUCUUUUUUAUGGCUGAGUAAUAUUCUAUAGUAUAUAUGUACUGCAUCUUCUUUAACCACUCCUCUGGCAGUGGACGUUUAGGUUGCAUCCCAUGUCUUGGCUAUUGUAAAUAAUGCUGCAGUGAACAGUGGGGUGCACCUGUCUUUUCGAAUUAUGGUUUUCUCUGUAUAGAUGCCCAGGAGUGGGACUGCUGGAUCAUGUGGUAGUUCUAAUUCUUUUUUUCUGAGGAACUUCCAUGCUGUUUUCCAUAGUGGAUGCACCAAUGUACAUUCCCACCAACAGUGUAAGAGGGUUCCCUUUUCUACAUACCCUCUCCAGAAUUUAUUAUUUGUGGACUUUUUGAUGAUGGCCAUUCUGCAUGGUGUAAAGUGGUACUUCAUAGUGUUGUUUUUAUGUUCUUUAUUUCCUUUCUUGCAUUCUUUAUAUUUAAUGGAAAAAACAAAUUAUUUCACCCCAUCCUCUUUAUUAAUUUGUUAGUAAUGUGUUCUUUUACUCUUCUUUUAGUGCUUAGCGUAGAGAUUACAACACACAUCCUUAAUUUAUUACACUCUAAUGUAAGUGAUUACUUUUACUGUUUUCUCAACAAAAACAGUCUUGAAAUACUUAAUUUGAUUUAACCCCUUUAUGCUUUUGCAUUGUUGUUGUCAUACACCUUAUUUCCCUCUAUGUUUUAAAUAUCACCGGUUCAAAUCUUAGUUAGUAAGGAAGUGUUAAUUUUAUGACGUUGAUAUCCAUCUCUCCUCAGCUUCACCUAGACUGGCAUUGGAAAACUCAUUGGUAAAUUGGUUCUUUUCAGUUUAUACCUGAAAACUUAUCCUAUUCACAUAUGUUUUAUGUUUAUUUUUUCAAUUUAAUUUAAUUUUUAUUUUAUAUUGGAGUAUACUUGAUGUUGGAUUAGUUUCAGGUGUACAGUGAUGUGUUUCAGUUACACAUAUAUGUAUACCCAUUCUUCUUCAGAUUUUUUUCCCCAAAUAGGUUAUUACAGAAUAUUGAGUAGAUUUCCCUGCGCUUUACAGUAGGUUCUUGUUGAUUAUCAUUUUAUAUAUAGUGGUGUAUAUAUGUUAAUCCUAAACUUCUAAUUUCUCUUUCUCCCCCCGCCUUUCCCCUUUGGUAACCAUAAGAUUGUUUCUUAAGUCUAUGGUUCUGUUUCUGUUCUGUAAAGAGGUUUAGUUGUAUCAUUUUUAUUAGAUUCCACAUAUUAGUGGUCUGUUAUAAUACUGUUUUUCUCUGUUUGACUUAUUUUACUUUGUAUGAUAAUCUCUAGGUCCAUCCAUGUUGCAGCAAAUGGCAUUACUUUGUUCUUUUUUAUGGCUCAGUAAUAUUCUAUUAUAUAUAUGUGUCAUAUCUUUAUCCAUUCCUGUCACUGGAUAUUUAGGUUGCUUCCAUGUCUUGGCUAUUUGUAAAUAGUGCUGCAGUGAAUAUUGGAGUACACAUAUCUUUUCGAAUUCUGUUUUUUUCUGGAUAGUUCUAUUUUUGUUUUUAAAGGAAACUUGAUUCUAUUCUCCCUAGGGGUUGUACCAAUUUACAUUCUCACCAACAGAAUGUAGGAUGCUUCCAUUUUCUCCACAUCCUCUCCAGAAUUUAUUAUUUGUAGACUUUUUGAUGAUGGUUAUUCCGACUGGUGUGAGGUAAUACCUCAUUGUAGUUUUGAUUUGCAUUUCUCUAGUACUUAGCGAUAUUGAACAUCUUUUCAUGUGGUUUUUUGGCCACCUAUAUGUCUUUGGAGAAAUAUUUACUUAGAUCUUCUGAUCAGUUUUAAAUUGGGUUUUUUUUGUUUUUUGAUAUUGAGCUGCAUAACCUGUUUGUGUAUUUUGGAGAUUAAUCCCUUGUCAGUUUGUUUGUCAGUUUGUUUGGUUUCCAAAGAUUUUCUCCCAUUCUGUGGAUUAUCUUUUCAUUUUGUUUAUGGUUUCUUUGCUGUGCAGAAGUUUUAAGUUUAAUUAGGUCUCAUUUGUUUUGUUUUUGUUACUCUAGGAGGGGAUCAAAAAAGAUGCUGCUGUGAUUUAUGUCAAAGAAUGUUCUGCCUAUGUUUUCCUCUAAGAGUCUUUUAGUAUCUGGUCUUACAUUUAGGUUUUUAGUCCAUUUUGGGUUUACUUUUAGGUAUGGUGUUAGAGAAUGUUUUAAUUUCAUUAUUUUACAUAUAGCCAUCCAGUUUUCCAAACACCAUUUACAAAAGAGUCUGUCUUUUCUCCUUUGUAUAUCCUUGUCUCCUUUGUUGUAGACUAAUUGACCAUAGGUGCAUAGGCUUAUUUCUGGGCUUUCUAUCCUGUUCCAUUGAUCUAGAUUUCUGUUUUUGUGCCAGUAUAAUGCUGUUUUGAUGACUGUAGCUUUGUGGUAUAGUCCAAAGUCAGGGAGUGUGAUUCCUCUGGUUCCAUUUUUCUUUCUCAGGAUUCCUUUGGCUAUUUGGGUUUUUUUUUGUAUUUCCAUACAAAUUAAAAAAAUUUUUUUUGUUCUAGUCCUGUGAAAAAUGCCAUUGGUAAUUUGUUAGGGAUUGCAUUGAAUUUAUAGAUUGCCUUGGGUAGUAUAGUCAUUUUGACAAUAUUGUCUUCCAGUUGAAUAAUAUGGCAUUGCUUUCCAUCUGUCUGUAUCAUCUUUGAUUUCUUUCAUCAUGUCUCAGAGUUUUCAGCGUAUAGGUGUUUUCCCUGCCUAGGUAGUUUUAUUCCUAGGUAUUUUAUUCUUUUUGAUGUUAUGUCAAAUGGGAUUGUUUCCUUAUUUUACUUUUCUGAUCUUUUGUUAUUAGUGUAUAUAAAUAUAAGAAAUUUCUAUUGGAGUUCCUAUCAUGGCGCAGCCGAAACAAAUCUGACUAGGAACCAUGAGGUUGUGUGUUCGAUCCCUGGCCUAGCUCAGUGGGUUAAGGAUCUGGCAUUGCCAUGAGCUGUAUUGUAGAUUGCAGACAUGGCUCGGAUCUGGCAUCACUGUGGCUCUGGUGUAGGCCAGCAGCUGCAGCUCUGAUUAGACCCCUAGUCUGAGAACCUCCGUAUGCCAUAGGUGCAGCCCUAAAAAGAGAGAGAAAAAAAAAA
rnacentral:lncRNA from 1 species